GCGCGUGGCCCGGGGUUCCAAGUCGGGAAAGAGCGCGCACGGGACCGGGGGCGUGGAUGGGCGGUCGCGUGCCAGGCUUGGGCGGGGGAAACAACUGAGAAUCUAUCCUCCAAAAGUAAUUACAGUCGGUCCAGAAAAGUAGUUGGUUGGCAGUGCCCAGGCUGUGAGCAUCGCUCCGUAGGGCAUCCCCGGGUUUAAAAAAAAAAAAAAAAAAGCGCAAGAGAGACGGGACCGCCGCCUCUCCCGAAACUGGUGGCGGAGUCCUGCGGCUGUGGAGACAGGUGACCCGCAGGUGGAGUGAUAGAAGUUUCACACAAAUUUCUUGUCAUACAGAGCAGACAUUUCGGCUGCUCUCAAGCACCCACUUUUAGCCAUUGCCUGAUGUUUGGAAUCCUGAUAAUGCCUCUCUUUGGCUAUGUCCCUCAGAAGUGAGAGGGGGUGACAUGCCAAGGAGCCAUUUAGAAGCCCAUGCAGAAGAAGACAAAACCCCAAUCUGCUCAGGAGCCUGAGCCACUCCCUCAAGACAAAGGUCAGAAACAAAGCAGGUACUGGACACAAUGGACAAUUUCAGGGGCUUUGCAGACAUAUCUAAAAUGAGUUAAUUGAGAAGAAACUUCACGUGAUGUUUUACCCAAUUUGGGAGGCUACAAUCAAGGUUAUUUGAGAAGUGGGACCUGGUGUUUUACUGUUACCUAUGAGUGUCCACACAGAAAUUUAUAGAUGUGGGAAAGGCUGGGUAAUGAGAAUGCUCCGUAAAGAGGCACCGUACUUCACCAGGGAGAAAUCGUCCAAGUUCCUUCACAAAUGUUAAGAUAUAUGCCUACUUAAUUGUAUGUUGCAUUUUCCAUGGUCUUUGCUUUAUUCAUUUCAUGUGCAGCAAUUAAAAAGAUAUAUUGUACAUUUUAGUAUCUCUUAUGUUUUCCAAUAAAUACAAACCUGGAGUGCAAA